UUGUCUACCUCAGAAAAUCAAUUUCGUUCAUCCAUCCGCCGGUCGAUAAGGUACAGUGACGUUGCAGAUAUCGAUCGUCUCAAAUUCCCACCAAAUUUUGCCUUUUAGUUUGAGAAUAGCUUCUUCUUCACCCGAACGCAACCAGACCCUGAUUUCUGUGCUGUCGUGACUCUGUUUGGUUAAUGCCUUAUACUGUAAAUGCAUGGAUUAAAAAAGAAAACAAAUGGAGAACGCUGUCGUUCGAUGAAUGUUUAGUGGCUGUAAUUUAUUAUGGAGAAUAAAAUAAUGCUAGUGCUGAUGUUUUAGUCCAGCUAAGACAAUGUUCUUGGCUUGUGUGUGUGUGUGUGUGUGUGUGUGUGUGUGUGUGUGUGUGUAGAUUUCCAUAUGUCUGAAAUGGGUUUGUGUACAUUUGCUUCCAUGUAUGCACUAACAUAUCUGUACAGUUCCUCUCGCCAGAUGUAUAUAUACUGAAUGUAUUGUUUGGGGAUGCAGAGGCUUUGAGAUUCUGACAAAUAAAGUUUAUGGGUCUAACUUAA